UCAGCAUAAAUGCUGUGAUCCCACUGGAUAAAUUGCUUACCAAAAAUCCCACCUACCUGUUUGGAGAGGAAUUCCCUGGGAAGCAGGUGCUAUGAGCCAAGGAAGCUACCAGUGGAGACGUCAUCUUCUCCGUCCACGCUCUAGGCAAAUCUGGAUUCCCAACAUUUACAAGACAUGAGAAAUCUUUGCAAACAUUUCCCCGGUGAUGGAAUUUAAGCACAAGCUGUGAGCAGCUUCUGUCUCCUAUAUAAAAUUUACUAACAAACAUGAAGAAAGUUUUGUUGCUAGCCGGUGGGUCCACAACCUCAGGAGGUCCAGGGUGCGGUUCAAAACGGACCUGGUACACAGAGGGCGGGAGGGUGAGGAGGGACUGGAGAGAGGCUGGCCCCGCAGACCGGCGGUUUCAGGAGCCGAGAACUCACCCAGGAGGCUGGCUGGUCGAGGACCCGCAGAGCAACGCAUCUCCACCGGGCGGGGUCCGGGAGGCCGGAAGUGGGCGCUGCUGCGCAUGCGCCCAGGGGGCCUUAGCGUCAGGUGCGGCUCGCGGCUGCACGCUGGAAGAUGGCUCCCACGGAGGUCAGAGGGCGUCUGAGGAGCCGCCAUGCCCCCCGCCUAGUCGACUCGCAGGUCCUUCUCUGCAUAGAAUUUGGGAGCUCAUCUAGCUAACCACUGGGGAUGGCCAAAAACAACAAAUCAGAUAGAAGAGGCAAAGGACUGGAUGGAUCACAAAGAUACGUCACAGGUCCUUUAAUAUAACAGUAUUUUUAAAUAAUAGAUCAUG
rnacentral:lncRNA from 1 species